rnacentral:rRNA from 1 species
AACGAACGCUGGCGGCAGGCUUAACACAUGCUAGUCGAGCGCCCCGCAAGGGGAGCGGCAGACGGGUGAGUAACGCGUGGGAACGUACCUUUUGGUUCGGAACAACUCCGGGAAACUGGAGCUAAUACCGGAUAAGCCCUAACGGGGAAAGAUUUAUCGCCGAAAGAUCGGCCCGCGUCUGAUUAGCUAGUUGGUGAGGUAACGGCUCACCAAGGCGACGAUCAGUAGCUGGUCUGAGAGGAUGAUCAGCCACACUGGGACUGAGACACGGCCCAGACUCCUACGGGAGGCAGCAGUGGGGAAUAUUGGACAAUGGGCGCAAGCCUGAUCCAGCCAUGCCGCGUGAGUGAUGAAGGCCUUAGGGUUGUAAAGCUCUUUUGUCCGGGAAGAUAAUGACUGUACCGGAAGAAUAAGCCCCGGCUAACUUCGUG